rnacentral:lncRNA from 1 species
AGAAAUUAAAAAAAUAAAGUAAACCACCACAAUUUCUCCAAUUAGGUUUACACUAAACCAAAAAAAAAAACACUAUUCCUAAAAUACAAAGGAACACUCCAGCCGCCCUCCUCCAUGUGCGCCUGGCCUCCUCCAGCCUUGACAGGAGACGUCGUCGUCUCUGCUUCCGGCCUCAGGGUCUCCUCCACUACAGUUUUUGUGCCUUCUCCGACGCAGCUUCCGAGGCUUCACCAUCUCCGCGUCCAUUGAAGUCAAAGGAGAGUCGAGAUGAAGCGAGGAGAGUCUAGCAGAGGCGAGGAGAUUCUAGCAGAGGCGAGUCGAGUCGAAAAGAGGCGAGGUGGUAAGCUUCCGGAGCUUGAGACGAUGUGAACUUCAUGGCAGGGAGAAGCAAUUCGAUCUGGAAAAAAAACAGAGAGCAGAGAAAUUAGAUUUAAAAAACUGCAUAAUGAGAGAAAGAAGAGAAGAUGACAAAGGUGUGAAGAGAAAGAGAGAUCGAUUGAGAGACCAGAUUUUUCACGGAAAGAGGGAAGAGGAGGAGAUGGAAGAAAAAAUUUUGAUUUAAAUUUUAAAAGUUCAACUUUGUGAUUGGUAUUUAGGUAUUAGAAAAUAGAGUUAAGAGUUUAUGA